UACGGGAGGCAGCAGUGAGGAAUAUUGGACAAUGGGUGGAAGCCUGAUCCAGCCAUCCCGCGUGAAGGAAUAAGGGCCUAUGGCUUGUAAACUUCUUUUGUACAGGGAUAAACCUACCCUCGUGAGGGUAGCUGAAGGUACUGUACGAAUAAGCACCGGCUAACUCCGUGCCAGCAGCCGCGGUAAUACGGAGGGUGCAAGCGUUAUCCGGAUUUAUUGGGUUUAAAGGGUCCGUAGGCGGGCUUAUAAGUCAGUGGUGAAAGCCGGCAGCUUAACUGUCGAACUGCCAUUGAUACUGUAAGUCUUGAGUAUAUUUUGAGGUAGCUGGAAUAAGUAGUGUAGCGGUGAAAUGCAUAGAUAUUACUUAGAACACCAAUUGCGAAGGCAGGUUACCAAGUUAUAACUGACGCUGAUGGACGAAAGCGUGGGGAGCGAACAGGGAUUAGAUACC
rnacentral:rRNA from 1 species